ensembl:lncRNA
UUUCGGUCCUGGAAGGGAUCCCCCUUCCUGCAACAAAGCCUGAGGAUUUUUAUGCUUGCUUGACAAACGGUGGAAGGUCCUGGAAGGAUAUGGAAUUGGUCUCAGACAAUAAGAACAAAGGUGGAAAUUGCAUAAGAAUAAGCGGAUUCCCUCGGUUCAGUUCAGUCGCUCAGUCGUCUCCGACCCUUUGAGACCGCAUGAACCGCAGCAUGCCAGGCCUCCCUGUCCAUCACCAACUCCUGGAGUUCACCCACACUCCUGUCCAUUGAGGCGGUGAUGCCAUCCAACCAUCUCAUCCUCUGUCAUCCCCUUCUCCUCCCGCCUUCAAUCUUUCCCAGCAUCAGGGUCUUUU